rnacentral:lncRNA from 1 species
AAAUGAAAGGUUUCUUUUAUUAUCAUUUUUAGUGCCUAAUAAUAGAUAAAAUUAAAUAAAUGGCUAAAGAAGUGUAUAAAUGAACAAACGUAUAAAAUACGGUGGACGUCGGCAUUUAGAUGUGAAAAAACGUUUGUGAAUUUAGAAGAUUUGCAACGUUCUGGCAGAAAUAGGUCUCACAGAGGGGUGGGGUCAACUGAAAGAUGGGGCCCACUUUAUCCACAAACAUAUUGCUAUAAAAGGUAGUUAUUCACGUGGCUGGCAUAUAAUGUUCUAUUCUAUCUAAUUUAAGGUAUAUGAUGUUCUAUUUUAUCUACUAUUUUUUCUUCUCUACCUUACUUUACUUUUUUUUUUUUUUUUGUUGCAGAUAAAAUCUCAUUAGAAUCAUUUUUCUUUUUCAUGUUUCAAAUUCAAUGAUAUUAAUUUUAUUUAGAUAGUAAUUUCUUGCUUCAUUCAUUAGUUAAAUUUUACUAUUGAAUUAAUCAAUAUCUCACGAUUGGACUAAAUCAUAUAUGAUUAUAAUUAUUGAUUUAUAGUAGUAGUGAAAAACUCAUUUGUAUAUGAUACAAAACCAUUUUCCUUAAAAAAAAAAAAAAACAUAUAAAAUCAUUUUUUUGUUAACCUUCCAAUUUUUAGAGGAAAUGGAUCAUGAUAAUCCGAAAUUCGGUUGGGAGGUAAGUAAAAUAUGAUCAUGAAUUAUUUUACUUAGGAAUUGAACUCAGAUUCUUUUAAACAAUUUAUCCUUGGUGGGAUUCAUUAACUACUUAAACCAUAUUACUUGGUUAAUUAUUUUGAAAUUGCUUUUCUCCCUUUCAAAAUUUUUCAUUCGACAAUGAGUAAUUUCUUUCAAAGGCACCUUUCUUGAUUCAAAAAUGAAAAUGUGUUUGCUUUAAAAGUAUGAACAUCAAUUCUUAGAGAAGUGUAUCAACAAACAAAUUAUCUAAAAAUAGAAGGACUCGAAUAAAGCUAUAUUUCAUAAUUUUGUGUGUGUUUGCAUCAUACAUUUUACAAUUAAAGGCAACAUCAUUUUCCAAAGUAGCAUCAUUGAUGGAAGAACUCUUGCUCCAACUCACAUUUUGGUUGAAAGUGAUCCACGAUGUAGAAUCACUCUUCAUCAUGUAUUAGCACAAUAAAUAAUGAGUUUGUUCCUUGAAUAUAUAGAGGACGAAGAACAAGAAAUAUACUACUUGUAUAUUAGUUUAAAUAUUUAUUUGAAGACCACUGAGAACAAACUAAAUUUCAUGGCUUUCUUAUAAACAAAAAUAAGUCUCUGUUCAAAUAACAAAUAACAUCAAAUAAGUCAUGCAUUAUGCACCACUGAGAUCUUAAUCAUUUUCUUUUCUAUUGUGACAUGAUUUUAUUCUCGGUGGUUACUCUUUACCCUUUGAUCGACCAUUUUCUAUUGUUGACUGCUACCUCAACUCAUACAAUAUUUUUGUUCUUUUAAGUUAUGCAAAGUCGUUUACCCAAUACACGUACCGAGAUAAUUCAAAUAAGUCACGAGAUUAAAUUUUAUAUAUUGUCCUUGUAAAUAAUUAUAUUGUCGACAGCUCACAAUCAUUCAUAUGUGUAAUUUUAGAAUAAUUAGGUUAAAAUCAAGAGAUAUUCAUUAAUUUUGUGUACAAUUAUUU